UACGAAAGGGGCUAGCGUUGUUCGGAAUUACUGGGAGUAAAGCGCACGUAGGCGGCCUUGUAAGAUGGGGGUGAAAUCCCCGGGCUCAACCCGGGAACUGACUUCAUGACUGCAAAGCUAGAGGAUGCGAGAGGUUAGCGGAAUUCCGAGUGUAGAGGUGAAAUUCGUAGUUAUUCGGAAGAACACCAGUGGCGAAGGCGGCUAACUGGCGCAUUUCUGACGCUGAGGUGCGAAAGCGUGGGGAGCAAACAGG
rnacentral:rRNA from 1 species